GGAGCCCAGCCCUGGACUCCCAGCUCAGCCCACUCAGUGAUCAGGACUGAACACAGCUGCUCACCAUGGAGAGUGUGCUCAGCUGGGUUUUCCUGGUGGCUGUUUUCAAAGGUGUCCAGUGUGAGGUGCAGCUGGUGGAGUCUGGGGGAGGCCUGGUGCAGCCUGGGGGUUCCCUGCGACUCUCCUGUGCAGCCUCUGGAUUCACCUUCAGUAGUUACUACAUGCACUGGGUCCGCCAGGCUCCAGGGAAGGGGCUGGAGUGGGUUGCUGUUGUAAGAACCAAAGCUAAUAGUUACAGCACAGCAUAUGCUGCAUCUGUAAAAGACCGAUUCACCAUCUCUAGAGAGGACACCAAGAACACCCUGUACCUGGAAAUGAGCAGUCUGAGAACCGAGGACACAGCGACCUAUUACUGUGCUAGAGACACAGUGAGGGGACCUCAAUGUGAGCCCAGACACAAACCUCCCCUCAGGGAAUCCUGCAACAAACAGGAGGUCUUCACCAUGACCAGCCUGGACCCUGCAGACCCAGCCCCCCUGAUUGUGACCAGCCUGGACCCUGCAGACCCAGUACCCAUGACUGUGACCAGCCUGGACCCUGCGGAUGCAGCCCCCAUGACUGUGCUCUGGGUGGAAAAGGCACAGCCUGGGGCUUCCUGCACAAGGGCUCAGGCUGGCCUCAGCUCUGACCUGCCCCUCUGCCUAUGGGGAUAG